GUGGUUGGUGGUUGGUGGUUGGUGGUGGGGUUCGUUAGCCCUGCGCGAGGAUGAGUUGGUUAAAAGAGAAUAAAUGCAAACGUAAUCUGAGGCUCUAAGCCUGUGCUCCCCCGAAAUUUUCACUAGGGAGGCAAGUUUUCUCUGAGUUUAAUUAUAUCCUUCUCACAGUUGGCUUAAAAUAAUCAGAGACUGCUCUCCAGCUGUAAAAAAAAAAAAAAAAAAAGGUGACAUCUCCUCAUCUCCUAAAAAAAAAAAAAUGACAUCUCCUCUGACAUCAAAACAUGACAUCGCCUCUGUCUUCAGGUACAUGUUUCCACUGCCUCCCUUGCAUCAGUUCCAGCAGUCAUGCAACAAAAGGGUGAGUCAGAGCAGCUCGAAAACUAAUCCCACCAGAGAAAUGGCAGGCUCUCGGUCAGCUGUACCAAGAGACAACUGUGGACAAAACAGCACCAGAUGUUAGUGAGGCACAAGGUUCUUAUGGCCUUUGUUCAAAACAGGAAAAGCUUGCUUUUUGGCCUUGUGCUCCACUUAAACUCUCAGAUUUCAUUCAAGGGAAACUCCUGGGCUGAACAAAGAUUAUCCUAGAUCCUAAGGAAGACCAAAGAGAUUAUUUGGAAGAAAGGCAAAUCAAAAAAAAUUGUGAAGGAGCAUUCUCAAUUCAUCAGCUAUCCAAUUACACUCUUUGAUCUAUUGCAGCUUAUACCAAUGAGUGGAAAAAAAGCUCUGAAUCAUGGAUAAUGAACUUACAGCUGCCACCAUCUCUGUUGUUCUUCCCACAAAACUAACAUCUAUGGAACUAUUCAUGAUUGCUUCUUGUUUCAAAGGGGUUCUGAUGGGUGCUGGUGGCAUUCUGUGGUCAUUCUCCAAGCCAUGUAAUUAUAUGUGCUGGUUUUUUUGGUCCCAUGCUGGACAAAGACAACACACAUUUCAGAAAACAGGUACUGCAGCCUCAUGGUACUCAUAAAGCAAGAGCAGAACCAGAUACUGGAAAGAACCACUUGUAAUACUGUGGAAGACAAAGUGACCUUUGUCUCUCAGGUUUUCAUAGGUAUAAUUCUUGGUCUGUACAUAUAAUUUCAGCUAAGAAGUGCAUAAUUAUGCACUUAUUCUGGGAAGGUGUAAAUCAUGAUAUAUGGUAUAAAACUCCAAAAAACAGUAUCUCUUGUUUAAGUCACAAGGGAAUAUAAAGAUGAGGACAAAUUUAAAAUAUCAAAUUAUACUGGUUAUAAUGUAAUCUAUUAAUUUUGUAACAAACAGCAUAUGAAGUAAUCUAUGUUAAGAUUAGACAGUUAUGUUGGGUCUUUCCACGCUCAUUCUCUCAGCCUUUCUAUGCAGCUGAACUUUUAUUAUAAAUUAUACUUGGCAUUUGUUAGUGGAAAUAUUGACUCUCGUUAAAACUAAUGCAUUUUUCUUCAACAGUUCAAGUCUCUUCAGAAUUCCUUCUGGAGCAAUGACUGACAGUUACCGCACUCCCUAACGCUUCCUUCAAAGAACAUGUACAUUUAGGAAGAAUGAUGCACACGGUGCCCUUGGUCCAUACAAUCAUUGCUGCCACCUAUGGUUCAGAAGUACAACUACAUUUUGUGAGAUCGAUUUUGUUCUCUGCCUUUCGAGUAUCUUUCCACCACAAAAAAAUUCUAAGUGACUGUCGAUCCUAUUUCUAGUAUGAAUCACUUUUUUUUUUUUUUUUUUGUGACCCAAAGAUCUUCUGAUCAUUUUGGCUCCCAAAUAAGACAUGAGAAAGCAGGAAAUGGGACAGCCUGAUGAACCAUUUUAAGAAAGCAUGAUGCUUUGUUCAGUCAGUGAUCCAAGCCAGCUUUACAUUUCAUUAUGAUAACAUAGAUUUUACAUGCAUAAUUCUAGUGUGUUAAAACCAGACACAUAUUUCCACAUCUUUCUACUUAUGUCAGUUUUCUGAAAUCUACUCUAUAGGCAAUUUCAAUUGCUGCAGUUUUGUUUUCCUUAAGUAAACCCUGAAGUACUGAGAUAACAACAUGACAAAUCUGUCUCAGAACUCAGACAGAAUUAAUUUCAAAAGCACUAAGGCUACAACAUCAAACACUCAAAAAUCAGUAAAUGCUGGAGUUAAAAUUCUCCAUGCAGAUUUCAUUUAAUUUCUUUGUGGUUUAUAAAAAUACAAAAGUCUUAUUCAGCAACACUAAAGAAGCCUGUGGCAGAAUCAAGAAUAAAACCCUGGGUUUUCCUGAGUGUUAUUUCAAUGCUUUUAAUAUUAAAUAACUUUCUUCCAGACGUCUUUUACUUUGUUCUUUGUUAAUUUUGUAAGAUCAAUAAAGUUGCAUAAUUAAAUCUUCUAUUACAGUGCAAAUGUAUACAGGGAACAAGUAUGGGGAUCUUCCUUAGGAAAUUGGAAGAUGCAAGAUUGAAGCCUAUGCAGUUAAUGCAGCGAUAUAUCUAACUUUCUGGCAUGUGUUGGUACAGAACAGUUUUUGAUUAAAGACCAGUUUCUUCAAAAUUUGGUUCAAAUCUGAAUUUUCUGAAAGCAGAAGUUGCUCAGAUUCUGAUGAGAAUGGCAAGUCAAGUACUUGCCUGGGCUUUGACUGGGUAUUGUGGUUGUUUUGUUUUGUUUUUGCAUUUACAGUGAUGUUUGAAGUAGUACAUUUUACUGAACAAACGGUAGUUUCCCCAUGUUACUUAUUUUAAUAUUGUAUAACUGGGAAAAAAUACCUUGUAACCAUCCAUCAAACACUGGUUACAGCAGUUGUUAAGUGGAAAAAAAAUGGAAGAAUGAUUUUAGUCUACUUUCCUAAGGCGAUGAGACAUAUGCUGUGAUAUGGUGGUUGUCCAUCAGUCCCUCCUUA